rnacentral:rRNA from 1 species
AUGAACGCUGGCGGCGUGCCUAAUACAUGCAAGUCGAGCGAACGGACGAGAAGCUUGCUUCUCUGAUGUUAGCGGCGGACGGGUGAGUAACACGUGGAUAACCUACCUAUAAGACUGGGAUAACUUCGGGAAACCGGAGCUAAUACCGGAUAAUAUUUUGAACCGCAUGGUUCAAAAGUGAAAGACGGUCUUGCUGUCACUUAUAGAUGGAUCCGCGCUGCAUUAGCUAGUUGGUAAGGUAACGGCUUACCAAGGCAACGAUGCAUAUCCGACCUGAGAGGGUGAUCGGCCACACUGGAACUGAGACACGGUCCAGACUCCUACGGGAGGCAGCAGUAGGGAAUCUUCCGCAAUGGGCGAAAGCCUGACGGAGCAACGCCGCGUGAGUGAUGAAGGUCUUCGGAUCGUAAAACUCUGUUAUUAGGGAAGAACAUAUGUGUAAGUAACUGUGCACAUCUUGACGGUACCUAAUCAGAAAGCCACGGCUAACUACGUG